GCCAGGCAUGGUGGUGCACGCCUGUAAUCCCAGCAGCUGGGGAGGCUGAGACAAGAGGAUCACGAGUUCAAAGCCAACCUCAGCAACAGCAAGGUGCUAAGCAACUCAGUGAGACUCUGUCUCUA
rnacentral:sRNA from 1 species